GCCACUUUUGCCCAACCAAAUUUAAAAAAGGGUUCUUUACAGAAAUAUAUAACAAUUAAAAAGUAAUUACAUCAUUAGUAUAUUAACAAAAUAAUUAUAAAAAGAGUGUAAUUAUGACCCAUAUUACAAAAAUAGUACAAUUCACAUUAAUAAGAAAACCUAGAAUCAAAGAGAAAUAACUGUCAUAAUUAAUAAUUUAAAUUCAAAUAUUUGGAAUCUAACAACAAAAAUAAAUUCAAAUUCAAAAUAAUAACAGUCGACAGCGACAACUAUUCUCCAAAACCCCAAAACUACAACUAUUUUGUAACAACAGUCGACAGCGAUGGAAGAUUACAAGGUCGCCACGACCACCAGUUCUUAAAACAACCACAUCGCUUCAGUUUUUUCUUCGUACUCUACCGAUUCGCCAUUAUCAUUUUCUCUCUCUUCCUCCUCCUCUUGUACCUUCUCUGCUCCAACCUCAUUUCUCUACUACAACCAUGUCCACGUUUAUACCAAGGUAACCAAUAAAAAAUAGAACACUGCAUAGGAAAGAGAGAGAUAAGAGAUUGAUGUGUAAUGUAAUAUUGAUAACCAAACCUUCGUACUAAGGUAACCAAACAUUUAUACCAAGGUAACCAAAUCUACCUCCACACCUGCAGUAUGAAUUUGUUACCUUGGUCUAAAAGUUUGGCAACUAAUUUCAUGAAGGUUUGGCUACCAAUUGCAUCACAUUAAAAAAAAAUUGGUAACUUAACAAAACUGAAUUGGUUACCUUGAAAUAAAUGUUUGGCUACCAACUGUACCAUGAAAAAACUACACCCAAACAAAUCAUUCGACUUGCUUUUUCUUGUUUAAUAGGUACUCAAAAUGGAG
rnacentral:lncRNA from 1 species